GGAAGAGGCAGUUGGAGAAAAAAACUGGCAGAAUUUGCAGUGUGAUCAGCAAGUCUACGCUGAGGAUGCCCAUCUUCUCUGCCUCCCAUAAGAGAGCAUCAUGUCCAUCGUUGCUUCCUUCUGGUUGGAGAAAUAGUAUGAGAGAGUAAAUGGAGACUAGCUGGCCAGUAUUUUUCAAGAUUUUCUCCUAGAAGAUUCUCAAAGAGCUCUCUUCCCCCAGGUUUACACUAUGGAAUGACUUGGCCUUCUACAGAUUUCAAGGUACUACAGUCUAAUCGCACCCCAUGAAAGCAGUACCCACGUGAAAUAUCAUGUAAGACAUUUAUUUACGAAGAGCACAGUUCCAUCCCCUUACAGCAAUGUUUUCAUGGGAUCUCCUGCGUGACAGUGUUCCUUCUGUUUUUAUUAGGUCUCAAAUCAAAGAAUAACUCAGUGCCUCAAC